AGAUCCAUGUUAAGAUGAUCCAACAUCUAUUGGCUGUACAAUACCAGAAAUACUAACUGACGUCUGUAAGGAAAAUGCAGCUGCCUGGAAACUGUGUCGUAGGUCGUCUGGCUUGUGUGACUCAUGUUGGGACUACCUACCCUGCUCUUCACAAGGGGCACAGAAAGUGUUCUGUGGCAGAGAAGAAUAUGCUGUUCAGUAUUGCAGGAAAACAUGUGGAAAAUGUUCCCAUAAGCCAGUGGAUGUACAGUUGAAUAAAUGUGGAGACCCUGUGUAUUCAGAGGUAAUCUGUGAUCAGCUUCAGAGUGAAAUCUGUAUUUGUAAUGACCCCGAUCUUCGUGCGCUUUGUGGAAAGUAUUGUGAAAACAAGUGCGCAGUAUAUGGCUUUCCAUACACUGGAUCAAACUGCAAGUCAGCUAGGCGGAAGAAAAGGGAAGCAAUUCUGAACCAAAUCGUGUUAAAUUGAAAUUGUGUAAUAACUGUAAUAAUUAUAAUAAAUAAAUUUGGAAGAGUGUCUAAGCGCAUUACUUUCUCUUAUGCAUUAUAUUGCAUGUGAAGCGUUAUUGCUUUGUUUGACUUGUCUUAAAGAAAUCUUGACGUAUGUUUUAAGCGCAUCAGUUGCUCUUCUACAAUAUAUUGGUUGUUCAGCGUUA